rnacentral:sRNA from 1 species
CUUGGUCAUUUAGAGGAAGUAAAAGUCGUAACAAGGUCUCCGUAGGUGAACCUGCGGAGGGAUCAUUACAAGAACGCCCGGGCUUCGGCCUGGUUAUUCAUAACCCUUUGUUGUCCGACUCUGUUGCCUCCGGGGCGACCCUGCCUUCGGGCGGGGGCUCCGGGUGGACACUUCAAACUCUUGCGUAACUUUGCAGUCUGAGUAAACUUAAUUAAUAAAUUAAAACUUUUAACAACGGAUCUCUUGGCUCUCGCAUCGAUGAAGAACGCAGCGAAAUGCGAUAAGUAAUGUGAAUUGCAGAAUUCAGUGAAUCAUCGAAUCUUUGAACGCACCUUGCGCCCGUUGGUAUUCCGACGGGCAUGCCUGUUUGAGUGUCGCGAACAACCUCAACCUUGAUUGGUUUUACCAUCAAGGCUUGGACUUGGGUGUUGCUGCUGCAAAGUGGCUCGCCUUAAAACUAUUAGCUGGACUUGUCUAUGACUUGGUUCGACUCGAUGUAAUAAGUAUUCAUCGGGGACAGGGUUAAACCUGGCCAAGGCUUGAUGCCGUCUGCUUCUAAUCAUGUUCUCACUAUGAGACGCUACUUUACUGUGUGGCCUCAAAUCAGGUAGGAUUACCCGCUGAACUUAAGCAUAUCAAUAAGCGGAGGAAAAGAAACUAACAAGGAUUCCCCUAGUAACGGCGAGUGAAGCGGGAUGAGCUCAAAUUUGUAGUCUGGUGGACUCAGUUCAUCCGAAUUGUAAUCUAUAGAAAAGUUUUCCGCGCUGGACCGUGUCUAAGUCCCUUGGAACAGGGUGUCAGAGAGGGUGAGAAUCCCGUGCUUGAUACGACCACCAGUGCUAUGUGAUACUUUUUCAACGAGUCGAGUUGUUUGGGAAU